CACGGGGGGAGCAAGCGUUGUUCGGAGUUACUGGGCGUAAAGAGUGCGUAGGCGGUUUUCUAAGUUUGGUGUGAAAUCUCCCGGCUUAACUGGGAGGGUGCGCCGAAAACUGGAAGGCUUGAGUAUGGGAGAGGAAGCGGAAUUCCUGGUGUAGCGGUGAAAUGCGUAGAUAUCAGGAGGAACACCUGCGGUGUAGACGGCUUACUGGACCAUAACUGACGCUGAGGCACGAAAGCGUGGGUAGCAAACAGG
rnacentral:rRNA from 1 species